GUGCUCGCUUGGGCAGCACAUAUACUAAAAUUGGAACAGUAGAGAUUAGCAUGGUCCCUAUGCAAGGAUGUCACACAAAUGUGAGAAUAGGAGAACAACUCA